ACGUGCUUUUAGAAGAUAAUUUUUUUCUCAAUCCCACCACUUGUGAUGCCGCCACCAACAAAACCUCAAAUCUUAAUCCAAUUCCCAAUCGAAAAAUGUAAAUUCGUCGUUCCCAAUUUGUAACAAUUCCUGUUAACUGAUUCACCAUUCGGAAUCUCAAUCCAGUUUCAUCGUCGGUGACCACUAGCUUUCCGUCCUUUUUCUGCUUGCUUUUGGUCUAGAUUGGGUUUUUUAAAAUAUCAAAAGGAGCCCAACACAAUUGGUUUCUUCUACCUCUCCUCUCAUCAAUCUCUUGUAGAUUUAGUUCAAAGCAUCAGUUUCUGCUCUGCCGUAACUUUUUUAAUUAUGGCAGGUGCUGAGGUGGGUGGCGACUGGAGGUCAGUGGCGAGGCUAGCGUUCGAGUUCGGCGGCAAGGUCGGGACUAAAGUUUCUGCUGUUUCUCGCAAGACAAAUACAACUACACAUGAAGUAUUAGGGGUGAUGACUAAAUGAGGCAGCUGAAUCCUUUUUUCAGAGUGAGAGAUUCACCGUAGGUUGUUUGUUACCGCUGCUUUGCUAGUCAUCAGUCGUGUUGGGUAUUUCAUCAUCCCUAUGCUUGGGUGUGAUUGACGAUUGCUACCUCAAGAUUACUUGAGUUUUAUUUCUGGAGCGGCUGAUGAACUUGGUGACUUUGCUCCAGAAAUCAAGAUGUUUUAGUUAGGGAUUAGACCACAGAUAGUAGUAUCAAUUCUUAUGCAGGACUCUUCUGGAAAUCCUAACACUAUCCGUAAGAGAUGAUUGACGACCUAAGAGAUAUGUGGGCGGCGUAUUUAAACAACCAAAAUGGAGAUUGAAGACAACUACGAUCAUGUUUGAAUUGUACAUUUUAGAUGAUUUUUUGUUUUUAAUAAUUUUAGUUUUAGUAGAUAGCAUUAGAUUAUAGAAACCUUAUAUUUAAGACAUUAUUGGAAGAAAUUGAUGCUUUUAGAGAAAUUAUUUUUGGAUAUAAAUUAAAUGUAACUAAUAAUUUUUGACAAGAUGAAUAGAGAAAGUAAACAAAUCCUGUUUAUAGUA